UACAGAGGGCUCAAGCGUUGUUCGGAUUCAUUGGGCGUAAAGGGUGCGUAGGUGGCGAGGUUAGUCAGGUGUGAAAUCUCGGGGCUCAACCCCGAAACUGCACUUGAUACUGCCUUGCUAGAGUACUGGAGAGGAGAUUGGAAUUUACGGUGUAGCAGUGAAAUGCGUAGAUAUCGUAAGGAAGACCAGUGGCGAAGGCGAAUCUCUGGACAGUUACUGACACUGAGGCACGAAGGCCAAGGGAGCAAACGGG
rnacentral:rRNA from 1 species